UGAGUAACACGUGGGCAAUCUGCCCUGCACUUCGGGAUAAGCCUGGGAAACUGGGUCUAAUACCGGAUAGGACCUUUAGACGCAUGUCUUUUGGUGGAAAGCUUUUGCGGUGUGGGAUGGGCCCGCGGCCUAUCAGCUUGUUGGUGGGGUGAUGGCCUACCAAGGCGACGACGGGUAGCCGGCCUGAGAGGGUGUCCGGCCACACUGGGACUGAGAUACGGCCCAGACUCCUACGGGAGGCAGCAGUGGGGAAUAUUGCACAAUGGGCGCAAGCCUGAUGCAGCGACGCCGCGUGGGGGAUGACGGCCUUCGGGUUGUAAACCUCUUUCACCAUCGACGAAGGUCCGGGUUUUCUCGGAUUGACGGUAGGUGGAGAAGAAGCACCGGCCAACUACGUGCCAGCAGCCGCGGUAAUACGUAGGGUGCGAGCGUUGUCCGGAAUUACUGGGCGUAAAGAGCUCGUAGGUGGUUUGUCGCGUUGUUCGUGAAAUCUCACGGCUUAACUGUGAGCGUGCGGGCGAUACGGGCAGACUAGAGUACUGCAGGGGAGACUGGAAUUCCUGGUGUAGCGGUGGAAUGCGCAGAUAUCAGGAGGAACACCGGUGGCGAAGGCGGGUCUCUGGGCAGUAACUGACGCUGAGGAGCGAAAGCGUGGGGAGCGAACAGGAUUAGAUACCCUGGUAGUCCACGCCGUAAACGGUGGGUACUAGGGUGUGGGUUUCCUUCCUUGGGAUCCGUGCCGUAGCUAACGCAUUAAGUACCCCGCCUGGGGGAGUACGGCCGCAAGGCUAAAACUCAAAAGGAAUUGACGGGGGGCCCGCACAA
rnacentral:rRNA from 1 species